AGGUCGGCAUGGUAGGACUCCCUUGCACCAUGCAGCAAAGAGGGGCCUUCUAAAUACAGUCAAAUUACUUCUUUCCCAUGGAGCUAAUCCAUUGGCAAUGAAUGAUGAUUGUCAAACGCCUCUAGAUGUUGCUAGGACGAAAGGUAACAUCAAUGUUGUGCGAGCUAUCGAGUUGGGUGGUUGUUCUACCAACUGGUUCUCGUAAUCAUACAAUGCCUCUAAAGUUGGGGCUGGCGAUAUACUCUAGUU